UACGAAGGGUGCAAGCGUUACUCGGAAUUACUGGGCGUAAAGCGUGCGUAGGUGGUUUGUUAAGUCUGUUGUGAAAGCCCCGGGCUCAACCUGGGAAUGGCAAUGGAUACUGGCAGGCUAGAGUGCGGUAGAGGGUAGUGGAAUUCCCGGUGUAGCGGUGAAAUGCGUAGAGAUCGGGAGGAACACCAGUGGCGAAGGCGGCUCACUGGCCCGGUACUGACGCUGAGGUGCGAAAGCGUGGGGAGCAAACAGG
rnacentral:rRNA from 1 species